rnacentral:rRNA from 1 species
UACAGAGACUGCAAGCGUUAUUCGGAUUCACUGGGCGUAAAGGGUGCGCAGGCGGCCAAGUGUGUGAGGCGUGAAAGCCCGGGGCUUAACCCCGGAAUUGCACCUCAAACUACAUGGCUAGAGCAUUGGAGAGGGUAGCGGAAUUCACGGUGUAGCAGUGAAAUGCGUAGAUAUCGUGAGGAACACCAGAGGCGAAGGCGGCUACCUGGACAAUUGCUGACGCUCAGGCACGAAAGCGUGGGGAGCAAACGGG